rnacentral:rRNA from 1 species
UUACCUCAUGCAGGUCGAGCGCGCCCCCCCUCGUCGCUCCUUCGGGAGAGCGAGGCGGCGCGCGUCACGCAUCAGACCUCUAAUCGGAAAAGACUACCCGCUGAGUUUAA